CCCCGCGGGCGGCUGGAGGCGGCACGGCGGCGAAGGCUCGGGGCGCGGUGCUGCCCCGUGCUCGCCUGCAGGCCACGGUCGGGCGUCCGAACUCGGCCUCGGCCUGGCCUCCGCCGCGCCUCGCCGCGCGUAGAGGAAGAGGAAAUGCCUAGCGGCGGACUGCCGCCGCUCGCCUGCGCGGCCCAUGGGGCCCCCGCACGUCCCCAACCCACGCCUGAGGCCUGCCUGAGUCCAUGCUGAUCCUCCAGGCAGCAACCACAGAAUUCACCAGUCUCUAGGAUCCAGAAGUGUUGACAACAACACCUGGGGCCCAUUGCAACUUCCUGUGACCCUAUCUCUUGAACCAGUGCUAGAGGCAGGGAACCAGGUUGCUGAUGGCUAGUGUCCAUUUUUUAUUGUCCUGUAUCCCUGAAACAUCCCUGCAGCAUACC